rnacentral:rRNA from 2 species
UUUGGUGGUGAUUGCGUAGGGGAAACACCUCUUCCCAUUCCGAACAGAGCAGUUAAGCCCUACAGCGCCGAUGGUACUACGGUGGUAACGCCGCGGGAGAGUAGGUCGCCGCCAAGA